rnacentral:rRNA from 1 species
AUUGAACGCUGGCGGCAUGCUUUACACAUGCAAGUCGAACGGGGUGAGGGGGCAACUCCUCAUUCAGUGGCGAACGGGUGAGUAAUGCAUCGGAACGUGUCCCGUAGUGGGGGAUAACUCGGCGAAAGCCGAGCUAAUACCGCAUAUGCUCUACGGAGGAAAGUGGGGGACCUGAAAGGGCCUCACGCUAUGGGAGCGGCCGAUGUCCGAUUAGCUUGUUGGUGGGGUAAUGGCCUACCAAGGCUUCGAUCGGUAGCUGGUCUGAGAGGAUGAUCAGCCACACUGGGACUGAGACACGGCCCAGACUCCGUACGGGAGGCAGCAGUGGGGAAUUUUGGACAAUGGGGGCAACCCUGAUCCAGCCAUGCCGCGUGCGGGAAGAAGGCC